rnacentral:rRNA from 1 species
UGGGGAAUUUUGGACAAUGGGCGAAAGCCUGAUCCAGCAAUGCCGCGUGUGUGAAGAAGGCCUUCGGGUUGUAAAGCACUUUUGUCCGGAAAGAAAUCCUUGGCUCUAAUACAGUCGGGGGAUGACGGUACCGGAAGAAUAAGCACCGGCUAACUACGUGCCAGCAGCCGCGGUAAUACGUAGGGUGCAAGCGUUAAUCGGAAUUACUGGGCGUAAAGCGUGCGCAGGCGGUUUGCUAAGACCGAUGUGAAAUCCCCGGGCUCAACCUGGGAACUGCAUUGGUGACUGGCAGGCUAGAGUAUGGCAGAGGGGGUAGAAUUCCACGUGUAGCAGUGGAAUGCGUAGAGAUGUGGAGGAAUACCGAUGGCGAAGGCAGCCCCCUGGGCCAAUACUGACGCUCAUGCACGAAAGCGUGGGGAGCAAACAGGAUUAGAUACCCUGGUAGUCCACGCCCUAAACGAUGUCAACUAGUUGUUGGGGAUUCAUUUCCUUAGUAACGUAGCUAACGCGUGAAGUUGACCGCCUGGGGAGUACGGUCG